CAAGCCUGAUGCAGCCAUGCCGCGUGUAUGUAAGAAGGCCUUCGGGUUGUAAAGUACUUUCAGCAGUGAGGAAGGUGGAUAUGUUAAUAGCAUACUCAGUUUGACGUUUAGCUGCAGAAGAAGCACCGGCUAACUCCGUGCCAGCAGCCGCGGUAAUACGGAGGGUGCGAGCGUUAAUCGGAAGUUUACUGGGCGUAAAGCGCAUGCAGGUGGUUUGUUAAGUCAGAUGUGAAAGCCCGGGGCUCAACCUCGGAAUUGCAUUUUGAAACUGGCAAACUAGAGUACUGUAGAGGGGGUAGAAUUUCAGGUGUAGCGGUGAAAUGCGUAGAGAUCUGAAGGAAUACCGGUGGCGAAGGCGGCCCCCUGGACAGAUACUGACACUCAGAUGCGAAAGCGUGGGGAGCAAACAGGAUUAGAUACCCUGGUAG
rnacentral:rRNA from 1 species